AUUAACGCUAGCGGCAGGCAUAAUACAUGCAAGUUGAACGGCAGCACAGGUAGCAAUACUGGGUGGCGAGUGGCGCACGGGUGCGUAACACGUAUGCAACCUACCCUAUACAGGCGAAUAACCUUUAGAAAUGAGGGCUAAUACGCCGUAGUAUUACAGAUGGGCAUCUAUUUGUAAUUAAAGAUUUAUCGGUAUAGGAUGGGCAUGCGUCCCAUUAGUUAGUUGGUAAGGUAACGGCU
rnacentral:rRNA from 1 species